rnacentral:rRNA from 1 species
AUAAUGGGUCAGCGACUUAUAUUCUGUAGCAAGGUUAACCGAAUAGGGGAGCCGAAGGGAAACCGAGUCUUAACUGGGCGUUAAGUUGCAGGGUAUAGACCCGAAACCCGGUGAUCUAGCCAUGGGCAGGUUGAAGGUUGGGUAACACUAACUGGAGGACCGAACCGACUAAUGUUGAAAAAUUAGCGGAUGACUUGUGGCUGGGGGUGAAAGGCCAAUCAAACCGGGAGAUAGCUGGUUCUCCCCGAAAGCUAUUUAGGUAGCGCCUCGUGAAUUCAUCUCCGGGGGUAGAGCACUGUUUCGGCAAGGGGGUCAUCCCGACUUACCAACCCGAUGCAAACUGCGAAUACCGGAGAAUGUUAUCACGGGAGACACACGGCGGGUGCUAACGUCCGUCGUGAAGAGGGAAACAACCCAGACCGCCAGCUAAGGUCCCAAAGUCAUGGUUAAGUGGGAAACGAUGUGGGAAGGCCCAGACAGCCAGGAUGUUGGCUUAGAAGCAGCCAUCAUUUAAAGAAAGCGUAAUAGCUCACUGGUCGAGUCGGCCUGCGCGGAAGAUGUAACGGGGCUAAACCAUGCACCGAAGCUGCGGCAGCGACGCUUAUGCGUUGUUGGGUAGGGGAGCGUUCUGUAAGCCUGUGAAGGUGUGCUGUGAGGCAUGCUGGAGGUAUCAGAAGUGCGAAUGCUGACAUAAGUAACGAUAAAGCGGGUGAAAAGCCCGCUCGCCGGAAGACCAAGGGUUCCUGUCCAACGUUAAUCGGGGCAGGGUGAGUCGACCCCUAAGGCGAGGCCGAAAGGCGUAGUCGAUGGGAAACAGGUUAAUAUUCCUGUACUUGGUGUUACUGCGAAGGGGGGACGGAGAAGGCUAUGUUGGCCGGGCGACGGUUGUCCCGGUUUAAGCGUGUAGGCUGGUUUUCCAGGCAAAUCCGGAAAACUAAGGCUGAGGCGUGAUGACGAGGCACUACGGUGCUGAAGCAACAAAUGCCCUGCUUCCAGGAAAAGCCUCUAAGCAUCAGGUAACAUCAAAUCGUACCCCAAACCGACACAGGUGGUCAGGUAGAGAAUACCAAGGCGCUUGAGAGAACUCGGGUGAAGGAACUAGGCAAAAUGGUGCCGUAACUUCGGGAGAAGGCACGCUGAUAUGUAGGUGAAGUCCCUCGCGGAUGGAGCUGAAAUCAGUCGAAGAUACCAGCUGGCUGCAACUGUUUAUUAAAAACACAGCACUGUGCAAACACGAAAGUGGACGUAUACGGUGUGACGCCUGCCCGGUGC